rnacentral:tRNA from 1 species
CGGGAUAGCUCAGCUGGUAGAGCAGAGGACUGAAAAUCCUCGUGUCGCCAGUUCAAACCUGGUUCCCGAUA